rnacentral:rRNA from 1 species
GUGUCAGCAGCCGCGGUAAUACGAAGGGGGCUAGCGUUGUUCGGAAUUACUGGGCGUAAAGCGCGCGCAGGCGGCCAUUCAAGUCAGGGGUGAAAGCCCAGAGCUCAACUCUGGAACUGCCCUUGAAACUGUAUGGCUUGAGUAUGAGAGAGGUGAGUGGAAUUCCCAGUGUAGAGGUGAAAUUCGUAGAUAUUGGGAAGAACACCGGUGGCGAAGGCGGCUCACUGGCUCAUUACUGACGCUCAGGCGCGACAGCGUGGGGAUCAAACAGGAUUAGAUACCCCCGUAGUCC